rnacentral:rRNA from 1 species
AACGAACGCUGGCGGCGUGCCUAAUACAUGCAAGUCGAGCGGACGGAUGGGAGCUUGCUCGCAGGCCGUCAGCGGCGGGCGGGUAAGUAACUCGUUAGCAACCUGCCUGUAGGACUGGGAUAACUCCGGGAAACCGGGGCUAAUGGCGGAUAACUCUUUCCCUCACAUUAGGGCAAGCUGGAAUAUGGCAUCUCGCUAUCACUUACAUAUGGGCCCGCGGCGCAUUAGCUAGUUUGUGAGGUAACGGCGCCCCAAUGCGACGAUGCGUAGCCCACCUGACAGGGUCAUCGGCUACACUGUGACUGAGACAGGUCCCACACUCCUGCGGGAGGCAGCAGUAGGGAAUCCUACGCGAUGGAGGAGUGUCGGACGGUACAACGCCGCGUGAAUGAUGAAGGUGUCCUGAUCGGAGAGCUAUGUAGUCCGGGAAGUACAAAUGCCGGAUCAACUGCCGGUACCAUGACGGUACCUGACGAGAAAGCCACGGCUAACUCCGUG